AGUGAACGCUGGCGGUAGGCCUAACACAUGCGAGUCGAACGGCAGCACAGUAAGAGCUUGCUCUUACGGGUGGCGAGUGGCGGACGGGUGAGGAAUGCAUCGGAAUCUACUUUUUCGUGGGGGAUAACGUAGGGAAACUUACGCUAAUACCGCAUACGACCUACGGGUGAAAGCAGGGGAUCUUCGGACCUUGCGCGAUUGAAUGAGCCGAUGUCGGAUUAGCUAGUUGGCGGGGUAAAGGCCCACCAAGGCGACGAUCCGUAGCUGGUCUGAGAGGAUGAUCAGCCACACUGGAACUGAGACAUGGUACAGACUCCUACGGGAGGCAGCAGUGGGGAAUAUUGGACAAUGGGCGCAAGCCUGAUCCAGCCAUACCGCGUGGGUGAAGAAGGCCUUCGGGUUGUAAAGCCCUUUUGUUGGGAAAGAAAAGCAGCAGGUUAAUACCCCGCUGUUCUGACGGUACCCAAAGAAUAAGCACCGGCUAACUUCGUG
rnacentral:rRNA from 1 species